rnacentral:rRNA from 1 species
CGGGUGCACUGAUCCGGCCGGGCCUUUCCCUCUGUGGAACCCCAUGGCCUUCACUGGCUGUGCGGGGGAAACAGGACUUUUACUGUGAAAAAAUUAGAGUGCUCCAGGCAGGCCUAUGCUCGAAUACAUUAGCAUGGAAUAAUAGAAUAGGACGCGUGGUUCUAUUUUGUUGGUUUCUAGGACCGCCGUAAUGAUUAAUAGGGACAGUCGGGGGCAUCAGUAUUCAAUUGUCAGAGGUGAAAUUCUUGGAUCUAUUGAAGACUAACUACUGCGAAAGCAUUUGCCAAGGAUGUUUUCAUUGAUAAGGAACGAAAGUUAGGGGAUCGAAGACCAUCAGAUACCGUCGUAGUCUUAACUAUAAACUAUGCCGACUAGGGAUCGGACGAUGUUAUUUCUUGACGCGUUCGGCACCUUUCGAGAAAUCAAAGUGCUUGGGCUCCAGGGGGAGUAUGGUCGCAAGGCUGAAACUUAAAGAAAUUGACGGAAGGGCACCACCAGGGGUGGAACCUGCGGCUUAAUUUGACUCAACACGGGGAAACUCACCAGGUCCAGACACAAUGAGGAUUGACAGAUUGAGAGCUCUUUCUUGAUUUUGUGGGUGGUGGUGCAUGGCCGUUCUUAGUUGGUGGAGUGAUUUGUCUGCUUAAUUGCGAUAACGAACGAGACCUUAACCUGCUAAAUAGCCCGUACUGCUCUGGCAGUUCGCCGGCUUCUUAGAGGGACUAUCGG